ensembl:ncRNA lncRNA:CR43353 long non-coding RNA:CR43353
UUGUGCCGCGUUGCUGGGAUGGUGGCUAAUGUCUUGGGGCAACACGGAUUAGAUGGUGACAAACCGCCCGGACAAGUCACGUUGCUCGCCACACACUGAGAUAAAUUUUCCACACACGCUGGUUUUUCCGUUGCGAUCUUUGUGACAGCCAAUGUGGCAAUGUGGUUGGCAAGGGGAGUGCAUGAAAGGAAGGAAAGCUGGAAGUCCUGGUUCUUUUUUGACAAGGGUGGACAAUGGCGAUUAGCGCUUGGCACUAAUGGGGGAAGCCCAGAUACAUGGGCGAGAGUUUUUCUGUUUGCUCAAAGGCUUCGAGCACACAAGGGCUGCGGAAAGCUGGAGAAAAUGGGGGAAAUCUGCGGGAAACCCAUGGAACGAGAAGCUGAUGUCUGGGGAGCUAUGUGUCCUGUUGCUGGUGCUGACUUGCCACUUGUCUUUAUUAGUUUUUCGUAUGAGUUUUGCUCCUGUCUCCCAAUGCACUGCUAAAUAAAUUUGAGAACUGUGAUU